rnacentral:rRNA from 1 species
GAUGAACGCUGGCGGCGUGCCUAACACAUGCAAGUCGAACGGGAACUCUCAAAUGAAGGUUCGCUGGAUUUUGAGAAAUUCUAGUGGCGGACGGGUGAGUAACGCGUGGGUAACCUGCCCUUAAGAGGGGAAUAACAUCGAGAAAUCGGUGCUAAUACACCAUAUGCUUACGGAAUCGCAUGGUUCUGUGAGGAAAAGAAUUUCGCUUAAGGAUGGACCCGCGUUUGAUUAGCCAGUUGGCAGGGUAACGGCCUACCAAAGCAACGAUCAAUAGCCGGCCUGAGAGGGUGAACGGCCACAUUGGAACUGAGACACGGUCCAAACUCC